rnacentral:rRNA from 1 species
CACGUAGGGUGCGAGCGUUGUCCGGAAUUAUUGGGCGUAAAGAGCUCGUAGGCGGUGUGUCGCGUCGGCCGUGAAAACCUGCAGCUUAACUGUGGGCUUGCGGUCGAUACGGGCAUCACUGGAGUUCGGCAGGGGAGACUGGAAUUCCUGGUGUAGCGGUGAAAUGCGCAGAUAUCAGGAGGAACACCGGUGGCGAAGGCGGGUCUCUGGGCCGAUACUGACGCUGAGGAGCGAAAGCGUGGGGGAGCGAACAGGA